rnacentral:rRNA from 1 species
AUUGAACGCUGGCGGCAUGCCUUACACAUGCAAGUCGAACGGCAGCACGGGAGCUUGCUCCUGGUGGCGAGUGGCGAACGGGUGAGUAAUAUAUCGGAACGUGCCCUAGAGUGGGGGAUAACUAGUCGAAAGAUUAGCUAAUACCGCAUACGAUCUAUGGAUGAAAGUGGGGGAUCGCAAGACCUCAUGCUCGUGGAGCGGCCGAUAUCUGAUUAGCUAGUUGGUGGGGUAAAAGCUCACCAAGGCGACGAUCAGUAGCUGGUCUGAGAGGACGACCAGCCACACUGGAACUGAGACACGGUCCAGACUCCUACGGGAGGCAGCAGUGGGGAAUUUUGGACAAUGGGCGCAAGCCUGAUCCAGCAAUGCCGCGUGAGUGAAGAAGGCCUUCGGGUUGUAAAGCUCUUUUGUCAGGGAAGAAACGGGUGAGGUUAAUACCUUUGCCUAAUGACGGUACCUGAAGAAUAAGCACCGGCUAACUUCGUGC